rnacentral:rRNA from 1 species
AACGAACGCUGGCGGCAUGCCUAACACAUGCAAGUCGAACGAGACCUUCGGGUCUAGUGGCGCACGGGUGCGUAACGCGUGGGAACCUGCCCUUAGGUUCGGAAUAACUCCCCGAAAGGGGUGCUAAUACCGGAUAAUGUCUUCGGACCAAAGAUUUAUCGCCUUUGGAUGGGCCCGCGUUGGAUUAGCUAGUUGGUAGGGUAAAAGCCUACCAAGGCGACGAUCCAUAGCUGGUCUGAGAGGGUGAUCAGCCACACUGGGACUGAGACACGGCCCAGACUCCUACGGGAGGCAGCAGUGGGGAAUAUUGGACAAUGGGCGAAAGCCUGAUCCAGCAAUGCCGCGUGAGUGAUGAAGGCCUUAGGGUUGUAAAGCUCUUUUACCCGGGAUGAUAAUGACAGUACCGGGAGAAUAAGCUCCGGCUAACCCCGUG